GUCAGUCGCGAAGCGCGCUAUCAGCGUACAGCUUUGGAGUUUCUUUUUAUUUAAAUGUCUUUUUAUUUCUGUUUACUUCUGUCAACUUCUUUUCGCUGUGUCGUCUGGUCUGGCCUGGUCGCCUGAAAGUCGUGAAACCGGCAAUUGAUGCCUUGUGAUCUCGUACGUGCUCUACUUUUAUUUCGUGUUUUUUGAAAACGUUUUCCAUACGUAUUUAUCGCAAUAAAACGGUUAUAUCUUUAUUUUAUGGAUAUUAUUUUAAUUACAACGCAGAUUGUACAAUUCACUUUCUAUAUUAUCUGCGACAUUGUUUGCCGAUAAUAUUUUCCAAAGUAAACACUCAGGAUUUUACGAUCAAUCAAUUAAUUCUGGAUCUUUUGAAACAUUGGAAAUUCUUAAAGUAAGCAAUGCCUAAAUCAGAAAUGGAGAAACUAAAACCGUCAUGGACAAUAGUUCAGUUUGCGGCAGAUAAUACUGUUGAAACAGUACCAUCAAGCUGGAUAGAACGCGACAAAUGCUACUGGCCUCCAUUUAAGUAUGAACAGAUUAUUGCCGCAAUUCGAAAAAACACAGAACAAAAUACAUGUUGGCCAUCUUACGACAUUAUUACGUUCCGGAACAGCACGUAUUAGCAGGUUAGUAGCAUUUCACUAAAAAAAAUAUUUAUAUUAUUAUUUAAUGUCAUUUUUCUAGGACUGAAAAGUAAUAUAUAUUGCUAUUGUUCAUUGUAAUGUAAGCAUUUAUUUGUAUAAUUUUAGAUGAUUACAAUACGGCAAGAUUGAAAACAAAAAAAGCUGAAUGUACAUUCGAUUUAAAUUCAGAGAUUGAGGCAGGUACAAAAAGAAAAAGGAUUAAAAAUCGAUUGUUUCCAAGUGAUACGAAUGAUAGCGAUUAGGAAAAUAGCGCCCCUACAAAACGAAAACAAACGAAAGAGGACGAAAUUCUGAAAAAGAAGGUUAAGGCUAAAGAUAUUUAUACUAGUGAAGAAUCUGAGGAGUCUGACAGCAUUCUUCCAAUUCCUCCAAAAAUAACAGAUACUGAUUAUUAUUUUGGUCUAAAAAAAUGUUUAAUUUAAAUUCCUGUGAAAUGAGUAUACUAAAAAAUAAAGAAUUUGAAAAAUUAUUAGAUAAGUUUAAUAUAAAAGAAAUGCUUGCUCUAUAUACAGAAUAGCUUAAAGAGUUCAUCAUGUUUACUUAAUGAGAUAAUCAUGUUUACUUAAUGUUUUAUUUAAAUAUUAACAUUUUUCAUAUAAUUUUCAAUUUUUUUUCUUUCUUUGACCUGACAUUAAGUUCAUAAAUUUAUUCUGUUGAAAAUGUAUAAUAAUAAAAAUUCUUUGCUUUUUUAUCUGUCAUGAUAUUAAACUUACACAUUAGGCCUUAGGGGAUGCCGAGUCGUAAAAGAAAAUAAAAUUUUAUUGAUUAAAUCUUCCACGCUAAAAA
rnacentral:lncRNA from 1 species